AGCGUACACGGUGGAUGCCCUGGCAGUCAGAGGCGAUGAAGGACGUGCUAAUCUGCGAUAAGCGUCGGUAAGGUGAUAUGAACCGUUAUAACCGGCGAUUUCCGAAUGGGGAAACCCAGUGUGUUUCGACACACUAUCAUUAACUGAAUCCAUAGGUUAAUGAGGCGAACCGGGGGAACUGAAACAUCUAAGUACCCCGAGGAAAAGAAAUCAACCGAGAUUCCCCCAGUAGCGGCGAGCGAACGGGGAGCAGCCCAGAGCCUGAAUCAGUGUGUGUGUUAGUGGAAGCGUCUGGAAAGGCGCGCGAUACAGGGUGACAGCCCCGUACACAAAAAUGCACAUGCUGUGAGCUCGAUGAGUAGGGCGGGACACGUGGUAUCCUGUCUGAAUAUGGGGGGACCAUCCUCCAAGGCUAAAUACUCCUGACUGACCGAUAGUGAACCAGUACCGUGAGGGAAAGGCGAAAAGAACCCCGGCGAGGGGAGUGAAAAAGAACCUGAAACCGUGUACGUACAAGCAGUGGGAGCACGCUUAGGCGUGUGACUGCGUACCUUUUGUAUAAUGGGUCAGCGACUUAUAUUCUGUAGCAAGGUUAACCGAAUAGGGGAGCCGAAGGGAAACCGAGUCUUAACUGGGCGUUAAGUUGCAGGGUAUAGACCCGAAACCCGGUGAUCUAGCCAUGGGCAGGUUGAAGGUUGGGUAACACUAACUGGAGGACCGAACCGACUAAUGUUGAAAAAUUAGCGGAUGACUUGUGGCUGGGGGUGAAAGGCCAAUCAAACCGGGAGAUAGCUGGUUCUCCCCGAAAGCUAUUUAGGUAGCGCCUCGUGAAUUCAUCUCCGGGGGUAGAGCACUGUUUCGGCAAGGGGGUCAUCCCGACUUACCAACCCGAUGCAAACUGCGAAUACCGGAGAAUGUUAUCACGGGAGACACACGGCGGGUGCUAACGUCCGUCGUGAAGAGGGAAACAACCCAGACCGCCAGCUAAGGUCCCAAAGUCAUGGUUAAGUGGGAAACGAUGUGGGAAGGCCCAGACAGCCAGGAUGUUGGCUUAGAAGCAGCCAUCAUUUAAAGAAAGCGUAAUAGCUCACUGGUCGAGUCGGCCUGCGCGGAAGAUGUAACGGGGCUAAACCAUGCACCGAAGCUGCGGCAGCGACGCUGAUGCGUUGUUGGGUAGGGGAGCGUUCUGUAAGCCUGCGAAGGUGUGCUGUGAGGCAUGCUGGAGGUAUCAGAAGUGCGAAUGCUGACAUAAGUAACGAUAAAGCGGGUGAAAAGCCCGCUCGCCGGAAGACCAAGGGUUCCUGUCCAACGUUAAUCGGGGCAGGGUGAGUCGACCCCUAAGGCGAGGCCGAAAGGCGUAGUCGAUGGGAAACAGGUUAAUAUUCCUGUACUUGGUGUUACUGCGAAGGGGGGACGGAGAAGGCUAUGUUGGCCGGGCGACGGUUGUCCCGGUUUAAGCGUGUAGGCUGGUUUUCCAGGCAAAUCCGGAAAAUCAAGGCUGAGGCGUGAUGACGAGGCACUACGGUGCUGAAGCAACAAAUGCCCUGCUUCCAGGAAAAGCCUCUAAGCAUCAGGUAACAUCAAAUCGUACCCCAAACCGACACAGGUGGUCAGGUAGAGAAUACCAAGGCGCUUGAGAGAACUCGGGUGAAGGAACUAGGCAAAAUGGUGCCGUAACUUCGGGAGAAGGCACGCUGAUAUGUAGGUGAAGUCCCUCGCGGAUGGAGCUGAAAUCAGUCGAAGAUACCAGCUGGCUGCAACUGUUUAUUAAAAACACAGCACUGUGCAAACACGAAAGUGGACGUAUACGGUGUGACGCCUGCCCGGUGCCGGAAGGUUAAUUGAUGGGGUUAGCCGCAAGGCGAAGCUCUUGAUCGAAGCCCCGGUAAACGGCGGCCGUAACUAUAACGGUCCUAAGGUAGCGAAAUUCCUUGUCGGGUAAGUUCCGACCUGCACGAAUGGCGUAAUGAUGGCCAGGCUGUCUCCACCCGAGACUCAGUGAAAUUGAACUCGCUGUGAAGAUGCAGUGUACCCGCGGCAAGACGGAAAGACCCCGUGAACCUUUACUAUAGCUUGACACUGAACAUUGAGCCUUGAUGUGUAGGAUAGGUGGGAGGCUUUGAAGUGUGGACGCCAGUCUGCAUGGAGCCGACCUUGAAAUACCACCCUUUAAUGUUUGAUGUUCUAACGUUGACCCGUAAUCCGGGUUGCGGACAGUGUCUGGUGGGUAGUUUGACUGGGGCGGUCUCCUCCUAAAGAGUAACGGAGGAGCACGAAGGUUGGCUAAUCCUGGUCGGACAUCAGGAGGUUAGUGCAAUGGCAUAAGCCAGCUUGACUGCGAGCGUGACGGCGCGAGCAGGUGCGAAAGCAGGUCAUAGUGAUCCGGUGGUUCUGAAUGGAAGGGCCAUCGCUCAACGGAUAAAAGGUACUCCGGGGAUAACAGGCUGAUACCGCCCAAGAGUUCAUAUCGACGGCGGUGUUUGGCACCUCGAUGUCGGCUCAUCACAUCCUGGGGCUGAAGUAGGUCCCAAGGGUAUGGCUGUUCGCCAUUUAAAGUGGUACGCGAGCUGGGUUUAGAACGUCGUGAGACAGUUCGGUCCCUAUCUGCCGUGGGCGCUGGAGAACUGAGGGGGGCUGCUCCUAGUACGAGAGGACCGGAGUGGACGCAUCACUGGUGUUCGGGUUGUCAUGCCAAUGGCACUGCCCGGUAGCUAAAUGCGGAAGAGAUAAGUGCUGAAAGCAUCUAAGCACGAAACUUGCCCCGAGAUGAGUUCUCCCUGACUCCUUGA
rnacentral:rRNA from 1 species